GUGUCGGUAGUGCAACGGUUCAGCACGCGCUCCUGAAAAGAGUGAAUGACUGGGUUCGAAUCCUAGCUGACGCA